rnacentral:rRNA from 1 species
CCUACGGGCUGCAGCAGUGGGGAAUAUUGCACAAUGGGCGCAAGCCUGAUGCAGCCAUGCUGCGUGUAUGAAGAAGGCCUUCGGGUUGUAGAGUACUUUCAGCGGGGAGGAAGGCGAUAAGGUUANUAACCUUGUCGAUUGACGUUACCCGCAGAAGAAGCACCGGCUAACUCCGUGCCAGCAGCCGCGGUAAUACGGAGGGUGCAAGCGUUAGUCGGAAUUACUGGGCGUAAAGCGCACGCAGGCGGUCUGUCAAGUCGGAUGUGAAAUCCCCGGGCUCAACCUGGGAACUGCAUUCGAAACUGGCAGGCUAGACUCUUGUAGAGGGGGGUAGAAUUCCAGGUGCAGCGGUGAAAUGCGUAGAGAUCUGGAGGAAUACCGGUGGCGAAGGCGGCCCCCUGGACAAAGACUGACGCUCAGGUGCGAAAGCGUGGGGAGCAAACAGGAUUAGAUACCCCUGUAGUC